GACGAACGCUGGCGGCGUGCCUAAUACAUGCAAGUCGAGCGGACCGACGGGAGCUUGCUCCCUUAGGUCAGCGGCGGACGGGUGAGUAACACGUGGGUAACCUGCCUGUAAGACUGGGAUAACUCCGGGAAACCGGGGCUAAUACCGGAUGCUUGAUUGAACCGCAUGGUUCAAUCAUAAAAGGUGGCUUUUAGCUACCACUURCAGAUGGACCCGCGGCGCAUUAGCUAGUUGGUGAGGUAACGGCUCACCAAGGCGACGAUGCGUAGCCGACCUGAGAGGGUGAUCGGCCACACUGGGACUGAGACACGGCCCAGACUCCUACGGGAGGCAGCAGUAGGGAAUCUUCCGCAAUGGACGAAAGUCUGACGGAGCAACGCCGCGUGAGUGAUGAAGGUUUUCGGAUCGUAAAACUCUGUUGUUAGGGAAGAACAAGUACCGUUCGAAUAGGGCGGCACC
rnacentral:rRNA from 2 species